rnacentral:rRNA from 1 species
UACGGAGGUGGCAAGCGUUGCUCGGAAUCACUGGGCGUAAAGGGCGCGUAGGCGGGGAGGUAAGUCGGGUGUGAAAUCCCUCGGCCCAACCGAAGAACGUCGAUCGAAACUGCCGUUCUUGAGGAUUGCAGAGGAGACUGGAAUUCCCGGUGUAGCGGUGAAAUGUGUAGAGAUCGGGAGGAACACCGGUGGCGAAGGCGGGUCUCUGGGCAAUUCCUGACGCUGAGGCGCGAAAGCGUGGGAGCAA